rnacentral:rRNA from 1 species
GAUGAACGCUGGCGGCGUGCCUAAUACAUGCAAGUCGAGCGAACAGACGAGGAGCUUGCUCCUCUGACGUUAGCGGCGGACGGGUGAGUAACACGUGGAUAACCUACCUAUAAGACUGGGAUAACUUCGGGAAACCGGAGCUAAUACCGGAUAAUAUAUUGAACCGCAUGGUUCAAUAGUGAAAGACGGUUUUGCUGUCACUUAUAGAUGGAUCCGCGCCGCAUUAGCUGGUUGGUAAGGUAACGGCUUACCAAGGCAACGAUGCGUAGCCGACCUGAGAGGGUGAUCGGCCACACUGGAACUGAGACACGGUCCAGACUCCUACGGGAGGCAGCAGUAGGGAAUCUUCCGCAAUGGGCGAAAGCCUGACGGAGCAACGCCGCGUGAGUGAUGAAGGUCUUCGGAUCGUAAAACUCUGUUAUUAGGGAAGAACAAAUGUGUAAGUAACUAUGCACGUCUUGACGGUACCUAAUCAGAAAGCCACGGCUAACUACGU